rnacentral:rRNA from 1 species
GAUGAACGCUGGCGGCGUGCCUAAUACAUGCAAGUCGAACGAACGGACGCGGAUCUUGCUUCUCUGAUGUUUGCGGCGGACGGGUGAAUAACACGUGUAUAACCUACCUAUCAGUCUGGGAUCACUUCGGAAAACCGGCGCUAAUACCGGAUGAUCUUUUGCUCCGUGUUGUUCAAUGGUAAAAGACGGUCUUUCUGUCACUUAUCGAUGGAUCCGCGCUGCAUUAGCUAGUUGGUAAGGUAACGGCGUACCAAGGCAACGAUGCCUAGCAGACAGGACAGGGUGAUCGGCCACACUGGAAGGGAGACACGGCACAGAGGGCUAGGGGAGGGAGCAGUAGGGAAUCUGGAGCAAUGGGCGAAAGACUGACGGAGAAACGCCGAGUGAGUGAUGAAGGACGUCGGAUCGGAAAACUCUGUUAUUAGGGAAGAACAUAUGUGUAAGUAACUGUGCACAUCUUGACGGUACAUAAUCAGAAAGCCACGGCUAAAUAAGUG